rnacentral:rRNA from 1 species
GACGAACGCUGGCGGCGUGCUUAGCACAUGCAAGUCGAACGGAAAGGCCCUGCUUUUGUGGGGUGCUCGAGUGGCGAACGGGUGAGUAACACGUGAGUAACCUGCCCUUGACUUUGGGAUAACUUCAGGAAACUGGGGCUAAUACCGGAUAGGAGCUCCUGCUGCAUGGUGGGGGUUGGAAAGUUUCGGCGGUUGGGGAUGGACUCGCGGCUUAUCAGCUUGUUGGUGGGGUAGUGGCUUACCAAGGCUUUGGCGGGUAGCCGGCCUGAGAGGGUGACCGGCCACAUUGGGACUGAGAUACGGCCCAGACUCCUACGGGAGGCAGCAGUGGGGAAUAUUGCACAAUGGGCGGAAGCCUGAUGCAGCAACGCCGCGUGCGGGAUGACGGCCUUCGGGUUGUAAACCGCUUUCGCCUGUGACGAAGCGUGAGUGACGGUAAUGGGUAAAGAAGCACCGGCUAACUACGUG